rnacentral:rRNA from 1 species
AUGCGCAACGUGGUCUCCUCGGCAGUCUCAGUUAGGGACUGGUGGAAGGUGAUCUGCUUGCAACGAGGUCCGCCGACCAGGGCUGCUGAGGAGAUAACCUUGUUGGCCUAUGUUGCCUGGCAUCCGUGGAAAGAGCGAAACAGGAGAAUAUUUGAAGAUAAAGAGAUGACGGCGGUGGCUUUGGUGAAUCUUGUUCGAGAUGAUAUAAAUUUUUUAAAUGAGGCUAUGUGUUCCACGAAUGCAAAGGAGGUGUAG